rnacentral:tRNA from 1 species
AAGGUCUUAGCUUAAUUAAAGUGUUUGAGUUGCGUUCAAUUGAUGUAAGAUAGAGUCUUACAGGUCUUA